rnacentral:lncRNA from 1 species
GAACAAACAAAAUAUUAAAAUCAUAAUACAUUUAAAGUUUUCCCCCUUGUUUUAUAGGUAAACUGCUUCUAUGAUCUGAAGUAAGCAGCUAUAAAGAAUAGAUGGAGCUAAGGACCAAUGUGACUGACUUUGUACUCUUGUGCUUCACGCAGAAUCCAAAGGAGCAGAAAGUACUUUUUGUUAUGUUCUUGCUCUUCUACAUUUUGACCAUGGUGGGAAACCUGCUAAUUGUAGUCACCGUAACUGUCAGUGAGACCCUGGGCUCACCAAUGUACUUCUUUCUUGCUGGCUUAUCAUUUAUAGAUAUCAUUUAUUCUUCAUCCAUUUCCCACAGAUUGAUUUCAGACUUGUUCUUUGGGAAUAAUUCCAUAUCCUUCCCAUCUUGCUUGGCCCAGCUCUUUACAGAGCACCUUUUUGGUGGGUCAGAGGUCUUUCUUCUGUUGGUGAUGGCCUAUGACCUUGCAUUACUUGGUUAUCAUGAGACAAUGGGUGUGUGUUUUGCUGCUGGUAGUGUCCUGGGUUGGAGGAUUUCUGCACUCAGUAUUUCAACUUAGUGUUAUUUAUGGGCUCCCAUUCUGUGACCUCAAUGUCAUUGAUCAUUUUUUCUGUGAUAUGCACCCUUUAUUGAAACUGGUCUGUACUGAUACCCAUGUUAUUGGCCUCUUAGUGGUGGCCAAUGGAGGACUAGGUUGCACUAUUGUGUUUCUGCUCUUACUCAUCUCUUAUGGUGUCAUCUGCACUCUCUAAAGAACCUUAGUCAGAAAGGGAGGUGAAAAGCCCUCUCAACCUGCAGUUCCCACAUAACUGUGGUUGUUUUCUUCUUUGUUCCCUGUAUUUUUAUGUAUGCUAGACCUGCUAGGACCUUCCCCAUUGACAAAUCAGUGAGUGUGUUUUAUACAGUCAUAACUCCAAUGCUGAACCCUUUAAUCUACACUCUGAGAAAUUCUGAGAUGACAAGUGCUAUGAAGAAGCUCUGGAGAAGAGACUUCAUAUCAAGUAGUACAUAAGUGAGUUACCCACCAUGAAGAGAGUCAUUUGACUUUACAGUCUGUCUCCUUGGGACCCAGGAGUUUUCUUAAAUCUGAGGCCAUAUUCCCUUUCUU